rnacentral:rRNA from 1 species
GACAGAGGUGCCAAGCGUUAGGCGGAAUCACUGGGCUUAAAGCGUGUGUAGGCGGACUUCUAAGUACCUUGUGAAAUCCCACGGCUUAACCGUGGAACUGCUCGGUAUACUGGUUGUCUUGAGCCACUUAGGGGCUACCGGAACAAAUGGUGGAGCGGUGAAAUUCGUAGAUAUUCGGAAGAACACCAGUGGCGAAGGCGGCUCACUGGACUGGUAUUGACGCUGAGGUGCGAAAGCGUGGGGAGCAAACAGG